rnacentral:tRNA from 1 species
UGGCUUAACUGGUAAAGAAUCUGCCUGCAAUGCAGAAGACCUGGGUUCGAUCCCUG